GCACGUUGAGAGGAGCGCACGUUGAGAGGAGCGCACGUUGAGAGGAGCGCACGUUGAGAGGAGCGCACGUUGAGAGGAGCGCACGUUGAGAGGAGCGCACGUUGAGAGGAGCGCACGUUGAGAGGAGCGCACGUUGAGAGGAGCGCACCGGAGAAAGAACACACAAGCUGCUGGACAGUGAGAGGAACACACUGGCGGAAGAGCACACAGGGAGCUGGAUGUCGCGGGGAGCGGAAGAGCACAGCGACAGGCACUGGUGUCGACCAGAGGAACGACGUGGAGUUUGGCCUGGGAGGUCAGAGAAGAAUUUGGCUGCUGGGCAGCCCCACUAUAGGGGAAAACUACUUUCCCACUCCAUUCCCCUUCUGAUCUCCCCAUCCACCUCGCUGAGAGCUACCACAACUCAAUAAAAAACCUCGCACUCGAUCGCCAAGCCCACAUGUGAUCCAAUUUUUCCCGUGCACUAAAGCAAGAACCUGGGAUACACAAAGCCGUCUGUCCUUGUGAUAAGGCAGAGGGUAUAAUUGAGCUGAUUAACACAAGCCACCUGCGGACAGCUAAGCUGAAAAAGCAUCCUGUAACACACGCCUACGGGGGCCUCAGGAGGUGUAAACAUUCACCCCGAGAGGCUGCAUGGGUCCGCGCCCAUGGUCCCCAUGACUUGCCUGUUUGCCUGCUCUGGCUAAGGGUCUUGACCAGUGGGGCACUGAAGAAGCGAGCCACACCCCCAUCGUACGCCCUGCGAGGAGGGGUCUCACUCAGUGACCCAGGCUGAAUGCAGUGGAACAAUCAUGGCUUACUGUAGCCUUGACCUUGAGGGCUUAAGCAAUCCUGCCACCUCAGCCUGCCUAGUACUGGGACUACAGGUACGCGCCACCACGCCCAGAAAUUGCCACAGUCACCUCAACCUUCAGCAACCACCAACUUGAUCAAUCAGCAGCCAAUAACGUGGAGUCAUGACCAUUCACCAGCAAAAAGUUUAUGAUUCACCAAAAUAUCAGAUGAUCAUUAACAUUUUUAGCAAUAAUGUAUUUGUCAUUAAGGUGUUAGUGCAUUGGAAAAUCAUUGAAAGAAUGUAUCAGCUAAUUGAAGGCUUAAGUACAGAGAGUCUGGUUGUGUUGCCCAGGUUGGAGUACAGUGACACCAUCUAGGCUCACUGCAACAUCAGCCUCCCGGGUUCCAGAGAUUAUUGUAUAUCAGCCUCCCAAGUAG